UACAGAGGUCCCAAGCGUUGUUCGGAUUCAUUGGGCGUAAAGGGUGCGUAGGCGGCGCGGUAAGUCGGGUGUGAAAUCUCGGAGCUUAACUCCGAAACUGCAUUCGAUACUGCCGUGCUUGAGGACUGGAGAGGAGACUGGAAUUUACGGUGUAGCGGUGAAAUGCGUAGAUAUCGUAAGGAAGACCAGUGGCGAAGGGGGGGUCUCUGGACAGUUCCUGACGCUGAGGCACGAAGGCCAGGGGAGCAAACGGG
rnacentral:rRNA from 1 species